rnacentral:tRNA from 1 species
GACCCCAUCGUCUAGUCAGGUCCAGGACAUCACCCUUUCAAGGUGAAGACACGGGUUCAAAUCCCGUUGGGGUCG